rnacentral:tRNA from 1 species
UAGCUUAACUGGAUAAAGCAUUCCCCUCCGAAGGGAAAGAGUGUCAGUUCAAACCUGAU